AUGCGCUUCGUCCACAUUGACAAUGACUUCCACAUUGGCUGCAGGCGAGGGCAGCAGCAGCAACAGCAACAGCGCCAAAAAAUCACCACUUGGACUUUGAACAUGACAUGCUGUGUACCUCAUCGGCGUCUUCCCGAGUUCCCGAUCAUCAGCGCCGAUGGCCCGGAUGUUCUGUGUUACCUGUUGCGGAAGGAGGAGUUUCAUGGUGAGGCCUCCAUGAUCGUGGUUGACAUGAACCAUGCUCACCUGCGGUCGUCUACUCCAUAUAUCAAUCGACAGUCUGCGGAUGGUUGGCCGGUUGAUGGAGCCCAAGAACUACAGAUUGUAGGCCGAGGAGGCAGAGUAGGUAUUGGAAGUGGAUGCUUUCCAACAUAUUGUAUCAAGCUCCUCAGAGAGGUUGACAAGUUGAAUUUGUUGCCAAAGGGACCAGAAACAGUGCAUAUCUUCAGUUGUUGUCAAUCGACGAAGCCUCUCAUUCAGUUGCCAUUGGAUAGUGCAGUUUCUGCCGAGGCGUUCUUCCUCCAUGCCACGUUGAACAAGGCCGUGUCCACGGGAGAGCAAGGCAAUUUGGUCCCAGUUCAAGGCCGCGAGGGGGAGAUCCGGGAGUUCGAGAGCCAUCACAGCCUAAGGGAGCGGCUGAACAAUUCAAGGUUCUUGAUACCUAAGUCCCCAAGUCUUUUUGGUGAACACACUUGCUUCCAAUUCACUGCACAAUGGAUACCCGUGGCUUCUUCCUCACCACGCCAAAGAAAACCUCUCUAG
rnacentral:rRNA from 1 species